rnacentral:rRNA from 1 species
AUUGAAAGCUGGCGGCAGGCCUAACACAUGCAAGUCGAGCGAGCGGCGGACGGGUGAGUAAUGUCUGGGAAACUGCCUGAUGGAGGGGGAUAACUCCUGGAAACGGUAGCUAAUACCGCAUACCAUCCGAUGUGCCACGAUGGGAUUAGAUAGUAGGUGGGGUAAUGGCUCACCUAGGCGACGAUCCCUAGCGUGUCUGAGAGGAUGACCGGCCGGUCGGGAGCUGAGACACGGUCCAGGCUCCUGCGGGAGGCAGCGGUGGGGAAUAUUCCACAAGGGGCGCAAGCCGGAUGCGUCCAUGCCGCGUGUGUGAAGAAGGCCUUCGGGUUGUAAAGCGCUUUAGGCGAGGAGGCUUUACUCGCCGAGGAGGCACCGGCUAACUCCGGGCCAGCAGCCGCGGUAAUAC